rnacentral:misc_RNA from 1 species
CCUCUCGUAUGAAACCAAGUGUCUAUGCAUGAGCGGUGGGCUUUUGCAAGACCACCUUUACAUUUGCAUCCAAGAUCUAUAAGAACUUCUUCCAUAUCUUGCUGACAAACUCUGCACUGUUCAUUAGAGCUUACAGUCCUCGACAUGUACCCCUUUUUGGAAGAAUCCACACUGGGCAAUUCUUUCUUAGCAGGUUCCGCAAGAACCUCAGCAUUAGAAACUAAAAUGGUAAGAAUUGUGGGAUUGGGCUCAAGGGUAGAACUCUCCGAUACGGCACCGUUGCUGCCCUGUUGCGGCAACAAUUGGGGGUUGUCCUGCUUCUCAAGGUCGAGCUCAGGUGAGAGUAAAUUACCACACUGGUUACUACCAGUUGUGGUGCUUGCUUUAUUGGAGCCAUCAUUCUGCAUCUGAUCCGAUUGAUCGCAAGCCUAGAUAGUGGAGAUUGGUUUUGGCUUGCAAAGUUUAGAUGAAUUAUUACUUGGCACUAAUUAAUUUGAAAAUCAAACAUAGGGAUCACGGAAAUGGAAAAGGGAAACGGAAGAGAGAAAAUCUGAAAAGGAGAGUCCACCGCCCG